GACGAACGCUGGCGGCGUGCCUAAUACAUGCAAGUUGAGCGCUGAAGGUUGGUACUUGUACCGACUGGAUGAGCGGCGAACGGGUGAGUAACGCGUGGGGAAUCUGCCUUUGAGCGGGGGACAACAUUUGGAAACGAAUGCUAAUACCGCAUAAAAACUUUAAACACAAGUUUUAAGUUUGAAAGAUGCAAUUGCAUCACUCAAAGAUGAUCCCGCGUUGUAUUAGCUAGUUGGUGAGGUAAAGGCUCACCAAGGCGAUGAUACAUAGCCGACCUGAGAGGGUGAUCGGCCACAUUGGGACUGAGACACGGCCCAAACUCCUACGGGAGGCAGCAGUAGGGAAUCUUCGGCAAUAGACGAAAGUCUGACCGAGCAACGCCGCGUGAGUGAAGAAGGGUUUCGGAUCGUAAAACUCGGUUGGUAGAGAAGAACGUUGGUGAGAGUGGAAAGCUCAUCAAGUGACGGUAACUACCCAGAAAGGGACGGCUAACUACGUG
rnacentral:rRNA from 1 species